AUGAGGGGAAGCCUGUCCUAUCAUGUCUAGGGAGCGCGGGGCACCGGGACCCUCUGGAGCUCCGGCUGUCCCGCGGCUCCCGCCCGCCCCCCCGCCAGCCUCCGCGCCGCUCUCCCCGGGCCGGGUGUAAGCGGCGCUCCCGGGAUCCCCGCCUGGGCGCGGUGCCGGCCGGGGAGCGAGCGGGGUUACCUGCCGGAGAGACGGCCGCUCCCGACUGCUGAGGCUGAGGGAAGCGAGUGACAGAUCCGCCCAGGACCUGGCGCCGCAUCCCGGAGCCUCCCGACCCGCUACCCGCCGGGCUUUCGAGGUGACUUUUCCCGGCGGCGGGUGCAGGUUGCCCCCAUUUUCCAAAGACGCUCUUCCCCCGCCCGCCCAGCUCCCUCUGCCCCUGCCGCGCCCGGUCCCUCCGGCUCUUACCGCCUGUGCCGGCGGCGGCAGCGGCGGCACCCACUCCGAAGCGCGACGGUGAGGGUGGAAGCGGGGUAGCGGAGGGGAAGGGAGGUGAGUUUCGCGGGGCGGGAGGGCGGGCGGCCCCCGCGCCUCCCCCGCGGCGGCGGUAGCAGCGAUGCGAUCGGGCAUCACUCGAAAAUGGCGCCGAAAGAGCGGAGGGCUCUUCAUUCAAAUUCGUUAGCGCCAGCCCCGCCGCCCCGGGGCAUGCCGGGAACGGGGGGGGGCGCGCGGGGGCUGAGGCGGCAGCGCCGCACGGACACGGCGCUCGCUGUCAAUGCCGCCCCUCCCCCCCCGGCUCCCGCCGCCCGCGCGCGCGCUCCACGCCCUCCCCGCUCACCGCGCGCUCCCGACCCAACCGCCGCUAAUGGGGAAAGGGGGGGCGGGGGGGGAAGAGAGGGAAGGAGGGAGAGAGAGAGAGGGAAAUGUCACCCGGAGCCCGGGCCCGCGGGGGAGAGGUGGCGCGUUAGAGAUGUGUGUGGGAGAGAGGGAGCGAGAGAGAGAGAGAGAGAGAGAGGGGGAGCGAGACCUCCGCUGGCCCCGCGAACUUGUCAAGUACAAAAAACCAAGCUUUUGGGCUCAAAAAACCUAAACCAUCAUGGCAACAAAAAUUACUGCUGCUCAGAGAGUAUGUAAUUCUGAAGCUCCUUAAGGAAAAAUGUAGUGCGAUGCAACAUCAGAAGAGUGACCAAGUGGUCUUCUCCACAGCAGCCAUGAACUUCAACCUUGAACUGAAGAAGACUCAUCAAAUGGAGUUUUAGAGUGGUCAUUAUACUUUUCCAAUUUAUUUCCUUCCUUCAUUCUGGAAUCCAGCAACAAAUAAACCCCUCUGAUUUCAAGUUUGCCUUUUAACUGAGAAAUACACAAGUUAAAAAUGUAAUGCAAUAUCAAUAGAAAGGGUAAACAGAGCAUUGUGGAUGCUAUUUAUAGAAAAUAAACUGGGUUUUGCAUAUUAUUAAAAACUAUUCCCUAAUUUGGGAUAUUGGAAUCCAGGCAGUAAGAUUAGGAUUUUAAGGUGAUGCUUUAAAAAUCACUAUGCUUAAUCUAAAAAAAAAAAAAAUAAAUCAAAAAACCAACCAACCCAACUGAAAAACCCACAAAAGUGCAGGUAUGCUGAAUAGACUGAUUAGACUUGAUGUGGCUGUUUUAUAGAGCUGUGUAUCAUUGAACUUUUUUUAAGCCUUAGGAAAGACAGUAUGGAGCUGGAAGAGAAGCAGGGAUCUUCAUGAAGGGCAGUCAGUUAUAGUUAUGGUGUGUGGAGGAACAGGUCCUGUUCUUGCUGUUGUUACUCCCACAUAGGCAGACUCUGUAAUUGAUUAUGUGUGGGUAGGGCCCUAUUGAAAUUCAGGAGAUUCUGCAGUAGUGUGGGGUUCUUAUUGUGAAAGUUCAGUUGCAAGAUCAGGACCCUACUGUGACUACUUACUGUGCGUUCUGUCACUGUCUCAUUGAUUGUACUGGAACCUGCCUAUUGGGAUAAUUACCAAAUACUAUAUUCCUCAAAACUUCUUAAUGGCACUGAGGCUUUGUGGAUAGUUGGUCACAUGAUGAGAAAAUUCAGCUGUGAUUCACCAUGGGACCCUGAAGUUCUUCCUUACUGCAAUUAGGUUUACUUUGCCUGUAGUGAUGAACUACUGUGAUAGUUUGAUUUUUAUGAUUUGUAUGAAGCAUGAAGCUUUCAAAGCCAUGUGUCAAAGACACUCGAGCCAGUGAAGGCAGUGGGCGUGCAGGCAGCUACGGCAGCCCGGAGAUCUCCCCUCUCUCCCGCUCUCCUCUGAACGCUGCCGCUAACACGCUGGCAGUGCUGGUGAUCCGGCUCCAGCUGCUGCUGCUACUGCUGGUCAAGUGAGUGGCUCAGCAAUGAUGUAUGACACUACAAAAACUGCAUUACAUCAGAGAGCUCUCAUUGCACCUGUAAAUGUACACUUGCCAGAAAAUAACCCUGGACAAGAAUAUCCUACUUCUAAUGAACAGACUUCAGCUCUUCUGCUCUAGUAGCCUGCAAUGCACUGCACUGCGCUGCACUGAGCUCCAUUUUGUAAUUGGCAGGUUGUGUUUUCCUUCUCGAAAGAUCGCAGACUACUCAUUUUCUCCGGGGUUCAUGGAGGUGGCAAGGAUGGACUCCCAAGGCAUGGCUGCAAUGGUUGUUUGAAAUAAGAAACAGAUACCCUUGGUGUCAUGCAUCUCUGAUCACUGGGAAUCGGAGCUUGAAGGAAGGUGGAAGAAAACUCCUACAGAGACUGUAUAUUUGUGGUCACCUGAUGGCAAUGCAUGCAAAGACCCUGUGCAGCAGCAGUGCCUCUCCCAGGAAAUACCAGGAGGGAAACUAGGUUGCGAAUAGUGGUUUUGGAAAGGUGAUCCCUGUCCCUGGGCAGAGACAACAGGGAGACUUGGAGUAGUUGGAAAGAUGGGGACUCGUCAGCUUCACAGCUUGACAUUCCAAUACAUCCUUUGGGAAGGCUGGGUUCAAUGGGGCAGCUAAAAACACAAUAAAACAUGCACACACAGUAGCACUUGGAGGCUGAUGAAGCUUAUUUUUCAGGAUGGUGUCUUCUUCCCCUCACAGCAGCCGGCUCAAAUCCCUAUUUCCUGCCUUAGCUCUUAUUCAGGCAAACCUCCUAUGGAUCUACUCCUAUCUGUACAAGAAUGGAUAAAAACCUUCAGCUCCUGACCCAGACGGUGAAAAACAAUGCUGAAAUCAAGGUUCACAGAGCUACACCCUUUUCAUUUAACCUAGUUUCUGUAUGACACAGAAACUUCUGACUGUGUGACAGUGUGGUGCAAGUAGGGCAGAUGCUGUUCAUUGAGAAGACAUUUGUGUUGUGCCUCUGCUUGCAGCAGGUCCCACUGAAUGGGACCUCUCUCAUACCCGUGUUCUGAAGAUGGGGCUCUGCUGAAGUGGGUGAGGAGAAUAGGAAACAUUUAGAAAUGUGUUUCUGAAAUAAAUUAUGUUUUUUUUUUUUUUUUUUUUUGCUUUAGCCUCUGCAUUUGACCUUUCUGCACAGGCAAAGUUAGUCAGAUGAGACAACAGGUGCCAGUGCCGUGAAGGUAGUGGGUGCUCCAUAUGCCUGCCUACUCCCUGCUGGCUGCUCUGCGUGGGGAGCUCUGCACUUGUGCCCAGCUCUGGGGCCGGCUCUGGCCUCACAGAGGGGCCGCAGCCCCACGCUGUGUGUGAGAGAGCAGCGCUGAGCACUGGGGUCUUGGAUGCUGCUGGCAGACGUGGAGGCAACCUCAGAGUGUGUAACCAGACAACGCCCUACGAACGGCACAGCCUGCAUUCCUGAGCAUUGCUAAUUAUUCAAAGCAAGGCUGGCAAAAAGUCAAACUGCCUAGCCUUUCCUGGGAAAUGCCCUUUCCCUUUUCCCUUCCACCUCAUACUCCUCUGGCCUAUGUGGUCAGACUUCAUGCCUGGACAUGCCCUUGGUGGGGCGUUGCCAGCCGCAGCAUGCCAUGGGACGUGGUGACCUUCUGGCCCACAUGGGUUGCAGCCAUAGGGCACAGAGGCAGUUUUGUGCCUGAGUCUGCUCAGAAAUUAAAAGAAUCCUAAAGAGAUGGGAGCAGAGGGUAAGAAUCAAGGCAAUGGUACGUUGCUGAACCGUUUCCCUUGCUGUAGUUGCUCAGAUUUUAGAGCAAAGCAGAAAGCUGUGCUGAGUAAACUGUGCCACCUUAAUGUGCCCUACAGUUAGUAAAUGGUGAUAAAUACAAACUGGAGCUGUACAGCUCUGCAGAAGGCCACCCAAAGGACAGAAGGCAAAGGGCUGGCACUGCUGGGAGCAGGUGUCACGGUUACUGCAGAUGCAGCUGCGACUGCAACCAGCCUUGUUUUGAAUAUGAAAACUUCAAGCUGGGAGGCACAAGGGCAGCUAAAAGGGGGAAGGAAGAGGAGGAAGGCCUGUGCUAGAUGUGUUCAAAGUAGUGGAGCCGAGUUAACAUUUUUCUGUGUGAGCAUGGCUUGGUCAUGUCAAGCAGCCAACAACCUCCCUGUCACCUUGUCACCUUCCCUGCUCCAGUGCUUCAGAUGGUGCAUAAAAACCACUCCUAACCCUGAGAAAGUUCAGAAGCACCACAUUUCUGGGAGAGUCCAAGGAAAAGUAACAUGAAAAGUCUCUCACUAAAAUUAAUGCAUUUGAAAAAACACCUCCUGUCUGAACCCAAGUGUAGGUUGUCUAUAUUUUAGGCAUGGUCUGGUCUUUCCAUGCUCUCUGUUUGUUUCUCACAAAUCAGUGACUCAUGAUUUUUUUCCUGUUUUUUUCUCAACAACAUGCUGCUUCGUAAGUCCCCAUAGCUUAUUGUGAAGGAACUCUUAUUCUGUAAAAACCCUUGAUAGAUUGAAUAUUUUGAUCUGCUUGAUAAUUUUAAAAUAAUUGCUGAAUUAUUAAAUAAGGAUUGAAUCCCAAACUGGCAAAAUUCCAAAUUCUUUGCAGUUCUGACAGUAAUGGGUUUCUUUCAAUCAGGACUUUGUUUCCUUUUGCUUUUGUAAAUUAUUUUUAUCUUGGUGUUCUUAGAGGAUUUGCAGCCUUCUUCACUAUAUGAGGAAUUUAGAGAAGCAGAUGUCUUAUCACCUAGAUGAUAGGUCUAAAAAUGGCAAAAUCUGUCCAAAAAUAUGUAACAAUGGUAAUUACUAUCACUGUUAAAUAUGUGUAAGUUACUUAAACAAAAUAUUUUAGCCUCAUUAAUUCAGCACUAGAAAUAUUACAAUUUAACUAAAAUACUCUAUUCCAUUAAUACAUACUAAAGACAUACAAUAAAAAGUGCAUCUGUUGUUUGCUGCUGCUCUUUAUUACUACGAGUUUUAUGUCUCGUUCUGUUAUUGGUAUAAGGUCUGUUUUCGGUGAAAAUUCUUCAAAUGUCAAAACAUGACUAAAAUGCUGUAAACUGCAAGUAAAACAACCACAUUUGAAAGAAUGCAAAAAGCGCUCUGGCAAAUCGUUAUCUUUGCAGUGGUAUCUUUGCUCUAUAUAUUUACACAAAUGCACAGAAAGAUAUUAUAUAUUAAUUACACAGGAAAAUCUUACUCAUCUCUGUAGAAAAACAGGAUAGAGAUUUCACAUGUGGCUCAGCUCUAGGACGAUGUGAUAUUAGUGUCUGUGCUGUUUUCAAGAUGCAAUUUAUCUAACACUGGGAAAGGGUAUGGUUUGGCUGACUAAACUCUGGAGUGAUGCUGAAUGAUAAAAGUGCUUAGGGGAAUUUUUGGGGCAUCUAAAAGACACUGUAUAAGACUCUGUAGGUGUUACAAAACCCAAAAAGACUUUUUCUGGUGGUUGUAUAAAAAGCUUACUGACAUUUUAUGACACGGACUAACCUCCUCCCAUACCUUUAACCCCCCGUUGCCAAACUUAACUGCCUCAAAGCUGGGUGCAACCACACUCACACAGAGCUCUUGUUUUCGCACUUUGGCUCACUUCACUUCUCUUUGGGAGAUUUGUUGCACCUUCAGUGUUCCAGACUGGACUGUGCUUUAGUGUACAUGGACAUGGCCAGGGAGAAGGGCAAGCAGACAAGUCCAACAGCUCUUCUGGGACACACACCACCAGUCAUCUGCUGAGCAUCACAGGCUUUGAAAGCUGAGGCAAAACCUACACUGGGUUCAAAUGCUGGGGAGGGAGAGAUUUGCACAGCCAACUCUGCCAUAGGGUCUGCUGCAGGUGAAGGAUGGCUGUAUGGCUGCAGGAACAUGUUGGGCCAGGUGGCUUCUGGAAAAAGACCUGCCACAAGCUAAGAAAGCUUUAAUACUUGGAGGCAUGGUGUGGAAAUUUGGGUCAGUGGACUGGUGGGGAUGCUUGUGAGAGAGUGUGCCCCAGGAUGGGUUUGUAUGAGGAGAAGCACAUUUGCAUGAUGAUAAUGGAUGGAUCUAGGUGGUGACAGAUGGUCUUCUCCAGAAUUUUCUCUUCCAGACAGGCUGGCUCCUUUCCGUAGUGAAACUGAGGUAUGGUGACUCUGCUGUUAGUACAGAGGUCUGAGCUAGCUAUCAGGUAUGGGAUUUCCAGAAGCCCCCCACCCAUCUCAUCUGCAUCCGGGUGUCUCCAAGAAGACUAGGAGUUCCUGAACUUUUUCUUGGGCUGCCCAGCCUGGCUCUUUCAGGGUCCUGCACCCUGGGAAAGCUCUGGGCAGGAUUCAUCCCCGCCAACACAUGGACCAGUCGGUAGGGGGAAGGACAUGACCAUGGAGCCACCCAGAUGAAAAUGCCCACUUUGACCGAAGCUGCCCUUUGCUUUAGAUACGCAGACAGAUGGUGGACAAAGGUCUCAGUGAAGGUAAGUCACCCUAAGUCUGCUCCUUCUCUUGCAGUGUAGUCCCACAUCUUUGGACAUCAACUUUUCCCCAUUCCUGCCUACCACUGCUUCAGGAUCUUGCUUCUUGGAGAAUGGGGAAAUCCUAUUCAGUUAUGGAGAAAAAAGGGAUUUUUAAUUCCAUAGUACAGGGUCUGGGCUUCCCUCUCUCUGGUGCUGGGCCCUCAUUUCAGGUUACUGGAGCAAAGACAUGAUUGCUGCAGAUCUUGGUGGAAUGCCAGGAGUGUGCUGACAACUUUUUCAGAAAAAUUUUGCUGCUUUUUCUUGUAGUCCUAGAAGCUACACAGUAACCCUGGCUGUGAAUAUUUUGUGAAAAAUAGAUUGGCUCCACAGGGUACAUAAAAGCUUGAAAAGUCAGUGAGCCUCUUUUCACCCCCUAGGUUUGUAGAAAGCACCAAAAAAGAGCACAAUUACAGUUAAAUCUUGGGAUUUCUUUAGGAAGCAGAUUUCAGGAGUCUGACAAACACCAACCUGCAGCUGGAUGCAGUGGACUUACUGGCUUUUCUCCUUAACAUUUAAAUCUCAUUGAACUGGGAAGGUUGCCUGCCAGGUGUGUCUGUCAAAGCUCUGAAAUAUUGAUUUUCAGUCUGUCGGUAUUAAAAGCAAAACAUUUCUUUCAUGUACCCAGACACUGUAUCAGAGCCCACAGUGCCUUGCAGGGUAUUUCUGUGCAUGGUGGCAGUGGAGACAAUAGAACAUCCUGUGAAGUAACAGACUUAGCAAAACACCAAAGAGAAAAUUGUGAAAAACACACUUCUCUGUUCCUUUUUUUUUUAAACAAAGACUUUUGGUUAGAAACACAAAUAUACUGCAUCUGAAAAGGCUUUCUCUUGUGAUUUGGCUUCUUUUUAAUCCUCAAACCAUUUAAAGUUCCACUCCCCUCCCUCAAACCCUGUUAAGCUUGAUGUGGGAGAACACAGGCUUUUUUCCCUACUGCUUUCAGUCACUGUCUGACAUAUUCUGAAUGUGCCUUGAUGUGUCCGCUGCUUUUAAUAUUGCUGGCUUACAAAGAACACUAGAUUUGUUUCUUCCUACUGACACACAUAUUUUUUAUUUCUGUAGAAAAGUAUUACUGUAUUUUGCAGGGGGAUUAUAUGGGAGAGCAAUGUAAAAACCUCCAUAAAGUCACUGUUUGAUGCUGAUUUAGUCAAUCAGUUUUACUAUGGCAUUGCAUACUCAUAGACUGGGGCAUCUUGCAUGCUAAGUAUUGUGCUAGUAGACCUUGAUGCUUGUAAGCAAUAGGCUUGUUCCUGCAGUUGUGGCUUUGAAGUCAGUGGAAACUUUAUUUCUUCUGUUAAAUUUAUUAGUGCCUGUCUCCAGUGCUCUUUGGGACACAGCACCACUGGAAGUGUAGCCUAAGAAGUGGGACUUGGUAUUGAGGUGCUCCAGCCUACACAAACAAAAUCACUUUUUUUUUGUCUUUUUUUUGACUUUUCUUUUUUUUUUAGGGAUGCAUAAUGCCUACAUCAGGAUGAGAAACAUCCUUCUACCAACAUACAUGUCCCCUGUAUUUUGGCACAUGCAACUUCCUUUGCUACUGCCUGGCCUAGGUCCAUGUUCACUCUUGCUAUAUUUAUAUAUUUAAAGUUUAUUGCACCUCUCUCAAAGCUGGCUGAAUUCUGUUGGUGGGGGACAUACUUCCUUCAAUGUCUUCUAAGUUUAUGGCUGCAGCCACCAGUAUUUUAAUAGGUUUAGGAAUGGAUGGUGCUCUAUGAAGAGAAUGAUCUGCCAGCAGUUCAGGGGAGGUAUUGAUCAGCCACAUUGCCCACUCAUGCAGACUUUGCUGGGGUAUCAGUAUCAAAACAGGAAACGAUGUGAGAAAUGUUAAUGAAACUUGACAACAACAACUCAAAAGGUGUUUGAUCCCCCAUUUGAAUGUACAUAACUAUUACAGGAUGAGGAAACAGGAAAUACACUGAGGGGGAGGAGAUAAGAACAGAGAACUGUAAAAAGAAUAAAAAUACUGAACUUGAAAAAUUCCAAGUCACCUUUUCUAAGUCAGCUGGCAUGCACGAGGCAUUCGUCACAGCACACAGCUCCUCAUUUAGGCAUUAUGCACAUAAAACCCAAGAAGCCCAAACUGAGAUCCUUCAGCAAUAAUUUUUAUCAUCUCACUGAUUGUGAGACCAAAUUAAUGUCAAAAAGAAAAACUCCAAAUGAAAAAAUAAAAAACAACUCAACCCAGCCCUGAAACUUAUUUUCCAGCAAGGGUUUUAAAAUUUUCAAAGCCAAAUCAAGUCUCUGUGGUUCCUGUUUCUUCUGAAUCUGCAUUUGCCUACAGCUUCAAUUAAAUAAAUACCACCGCGCUAUUCUUGUUCAGGAGUAUUGUUAUUUUGUGAUGACUUUUUUGUCUCCUUAAAUCCCCUGCCCACCACCCCACAUUUUUCCAUAAGACUAACACAUAAACUAAAACUGAGUCAGGAAGAAAAAACCAAAAAGGGCACAUACCCUCUGUUCUCCUGCUGUGUUUUAUGGCAGUAGGUUCUCUGCUUUCUUCUUGUCAAAUUCCCUACUAAUCCACUCCAAAGUGUUACUCAAUGAAGCUUAGAAAAUGUGUUAAUUUGAAAGAAAUGUCAGGGGGGAGGGGACAAGGGGAAAUGGAUUUGAAUGUAAGAACAGCAAAUACUUCCCUGAUGUCACCUUUUAUUUACAGCACUGAAAGCAUUUUGACCACAUAAAGUCACCAGUUACAGUUUUUAGACAAAGAAAUUGGGCUCCAAAGUUGAUACUUGGUAAUUAGUAAACUAAUUGUGGAGUUCAGGUCUGCUGAUUCUUAGCCUCCGGUCCAAGUCCAUUGGAUGAUACAAUUUCCUGUUUGAAUUACUCUGAAAGGAACCAUUUCUAAAGUGAAAGACACCCACCAAGGUCCUUAAAAUGCCCUUUGAACUCUGGAAAACAGGGAGCACUAGUUACAGAUCACAUACUUCCUUCUAGUCUUGAGCAGUCCGAUGGGGCUUUGUGUCCUCAUGGGAGAGGACAGAGAGGAGAAGCCACUGUGGUAUGAAGGCAAGGAAAGAAGGAAUGGCCUGUGGACCAAGAACAAGAACUUCCAAGGUGUAGGAGCAAGGCAGAUUGCUAAAUGUUUUCUGAUUCUUGGGGUCUACACUUUUUAGUCUUAAAAGUGCCCCUCCCUUGGGGCCAUUAUAUCAUCGCCUGGCAUUCCAUGAACUUCCUCCAAAAUUCUUUCAUGUCUUUCUGUAUUAGAGACAAAUAUGAAUUUUCUCCUAAGUGGAGUGAAAUACCGCCUGUACAUUGACCUGCCAUGCUGGAGACAGUGUGGCUGGUGAUGAGUCUCCUUUUCAUCAUCUCCCAAAGGCAGGAAAGAUAAUUCAGUCACCUAUUAUGAAACAGGCUUUUUAUAGAAGAUGAUUUCUCUCUGACACUGUCUUCUCAUGUGUGAUUAACUAUUCUUUGGGUAGGGAUAAAGAAAAUAAAGUAAACAUGUGGCUGAUGUAAUAUCAUGAUGCCUUUCUUUAAGACUGACUGAAAGUGUUGAGAGCACUCCCACUAAUCUCUUUUUUUGAAAAGCAAAGAGAGCUAUAUCCAGUUUGACUAAUGAGUCAUCUUUCACUCUCCUGGUCCAGUUCAUCAGUUUUCAGCUUACUUCACAAUGUCUGUACUUUGCUGACCACUUACUUGCUAUGAACCUGGGCAAAAUGUGUUUGUGGGUGCCUUGGGAAGACAUUGGGAACUGAGAAAUGUCCUUAACACUGUGUGUCCUCGUGGGCUCUUAGAGGGAAGCCUUGUUGGUUAAUUUAGGAAAGAUACAAAAAGGUUAAGUGCAAGUGGGUUCUAUGCCAGCAGAAUGCAGGCAGUCACUGGUGCUGGGAGCAAGAGGAAAGGGUUGGUGUGGAGUAACAAGAGGUAAGGUGUGGAGGGUGAUGACACAUGCAGGAUGCAGGGUGAGGUAAUUCUUUCUAGUUGUCCUUGGUCCUCCAUUUUUAUCUUGGUGCUUUCCCAGCAGCGGUCACUUCUUUGAAAUUAUUUUCCUCCUUUUUUUUUUUCAGAUAAAAAGCUGCAGUGGAGGCCAGCAGUCUCAGGAGGACCGUCUGCUGCUUUCUUUGUAGACAGAGGGACUUUCUACCUUGGAUGAAUGAUUUAUGAAAUAAACGAGCCCAAACACCACCAAAGCAAGCUGUGAAAAAGCUCCAAGGGUAAAUUGUUUUUUUUUUGAAUGGGAGUAAUAAAGAAUAUUUAGCAAGAGGGACCUUCUAUGAACACUUUCCUCUUUUUGUUCAUCUGUUCCUUAGAAAACAAGAGUAGAUGUAAAUGAGCCCAGAGAGCGCUGGUUGAGGUAAAGGCAGGACAUAGAUGAGCAAUUGGCAGAGAGAAGAGGAAAAUUCUGGGGGAGGUGAACAACCUGCAAGGCUUUGAGCGACACAGGCUAUGUUUAGGGAGGUGCAGAAUGUAAUUUGUGCCCAGCCUAUUACCAAGGUCAGCUAAAGAGGUAGCAGUGGAUUAUAAUUUUCAACAGUGUACAAGGCCUUAGGGAGUGUAAAAACCAACCCCAUGGCAUGAUAUGAAAUAUAAACCACUGACUAAUGGAGACCUUGACCUUAACCAUCUCUUUUCGUGUCAAAAACCACAUUGCAGUGAACCCCUGGCUGUGCUGGCCUGGUGCAAACCAUCAGAGGGAGCACAUAGCUCUAGUGAGUUGGCACAGGCAGAAGAGACCCAAGUAUUAAGGCAAUCUUCCCCGGUUCUGCUGGCUACUGCUCAGGCACAGAAUGCAAAAAGAGUCAAGGUGCAGGAUAAGCCUGGAAAAAAUCCAAUGCAAGUGUGAAAUUCUCAUGUGAGAGAACAGCAAGUGAUGCAGUCUUCUCAGAGGCUUCAGACUUGCAUUUAGCCAGAACGAAGCUGGUGGUGCCUGGCAAUGUCUCCUCAGGUGCCAGUGGCCUCCAUAUACUACAAGUGCAACUUCUCUCCUUCCUUUCAGAGCCAGCACCACCUGGACUGCACUGUCUGGGAUGGCAGUGUGUCACCUGGCUGGGCUGGCUGGUGGCCUGGUGUGAGACGGCAGCUCUUUGUUCCUGUGCAGAAACAGGUCACUGUGGUUAACCAUGCUGACUCCUUUAGGUGCAAACAGUUCUUCCUGAGAUUGUGUGUAUUGAUCUCCUCUGUCACAUCAACAGGACAGUACGUAGGAGGAGAGAUGCGCUGACUUCAGUCAUCCCAACUUCUGACAAAACCCUGCAUCAGGAAGAUCUGUGGGUACAGAAGUGAGAAGUUGCUAAAGGCAGACAUUGACGUGUGGCAAUAAAUGGCCACUUGAUAGACAGCAAAUGAUGGGGCUCAAGAAGUGCCCUGUUCUGUGUAGGGCAUGCCUUAGGGUGGGGGCAAAAUAAAUGGGCAAAAAAGAAGGAAAUUUUUUGAGAUGUUAUGUCAUUACCAGAUCUUUUCAACAGUUCCAUGAGAUGCCUGUGCUGCCCCACAUAUUUUAACCAGAAGAGCCAUAAGCAAACUGUGCCUUAGACUCUGUAGACAAACCCAAGGUGCUACAAGACCCUUCUGGUAACAGAGCUCCAACAGCCUCUGUGCUCCACAGCCACAGAAAAUACCUGGCAGUCAAAAGGAGGUGAGGAGGCCUGGGAUAUGCACCCAUCCUGCUGAAGCUCCAGACAGCCAGGAGAGGUGACAGUGAAGCAGGGUAUGGUGUCUGUGGUCAAUGAGCUCCAAGAGGCUCUGCAGUUAAUGCUGCCAGAAGACAUGUGGAGAUAGGGAAGGAAAGCACAGUGACAACACUCUGAAGGUCUUGUGUCAUACAUCAGUGCAGAAGUGCCACCAAGAUGAGUAUUGGGCCUUGUCACACUUAGCAAAAGUGUAAAAACUGAUUUAGUAGAAUUCUUUUAUGUAGCUCUUUCUCAGCAGUUAUAUUAAUCUUGCAAGAAAGCCCUAUAGAGGUAAGCAUUCCCACUAUCUACUUCUAGAAUAAAGGCACUUAAAAUUUUUGUUUCCAGAUUUAUGAAGGACAAGUUUUAUGCCAACAAUUAAAUUGUGAAAUACUCUGAAGAUUUAGGAAACUCUAACAGGAACAAGCACUGUACAUUUUGUCCAUUUUUAGGACAAACUGUUUUUCCUGGAAUAAAGCGAUUUCCUGGAA